UACGUAGGGGGCGAGCGUUGUCCGGAAUUAUUGGGCGUAAAGCGCGUGUAGGCGGCUCGAUAAGUCCGCUGUAAAAGUCCAGGGCUCAACCCUGGAAAGCCGGUGGAAACUGUCGGGCUAGAGUCCGGAAGAGGCGAGUGGAAUUCCUGGUGUAGCGGUGAAAUGCGCAGAUAUCAGGAGGAACACCAAUGGCGAAGGCAGCUCGCUGGGACGGUACUGACGCUGAGACGCGAAAGCGUGGGGAGCAAACAGG
rnacentral:rRNA from 1 species